AGCAGCCGCGGUAAUUCCAGCUCCAAUAGCGUAUAUUAAAGUUGUUGCAGUUAAAAAGCUCGUAGUUGAAUUUCGGGGUCAGUAGGUUGGUCAUGCCUCCGGUAUGUACUGGUCUCACUGAUUCCUCCUUCCUGAUGAGCCGUAAUGCCAUUAAUUUGGUGUUGCGGGGAAUCUGGACUGUUACUUUGAAAAAAAUUAGAGUGUUUAAAGCAAGCUAACGCUUGAAUACAUUAGCAUGGAAUAAUGGAGUAGGACGUUCGAUCCUAUUUUGUUGGUUUCUAGGAUUGACGUAAUGAUUAAUAGGGAUAGUUGGGGGCAUUAGUAUUCAAUUGUCAGAGGUGAAAUUCUUGGAUUUAUUGAAGACUAACUACUGCGAAAGCAUUUGCCAAGGAUGUUUUCAUUAAUCAAGAACGAAAGUUAGGGGAUCGAAGACGAUCAGAUACCGUCGUAGUCUUAACCAUAAACUAUGCCGACUAGGGAUCGGAUGAUGUUAAUUUUUUAAUGUACUCAAUUCGGACUA
rnacentral:rRNA from 1 species